UCACUCUGUCUGACUUUUUUGGGUUAUCCUAGGUUCUCUACACAUAUGCUGCUAUGUAUGAUAAUUCUAUGUAUCUGUAUUUGUGUAUACCUGAAUAAACUUACUUACUUACUUACUAGGGAGAACUGGCAGCUCAAGUUUGAACGUCCAGGCACAGGGUUUUGAGACACCAGUGCCUCGUUUGUCGAAAUUCCGAGCGAGGCACACUGCCAUGAACAGCAGGGCGGCACCCCAUGGGUCUACACAUACUAGGCCCUGGGGAAAUCUGGUGGAGGCACAUCGAAGUACCGUAGAUGACCUCCUCCGUCAGGCCCAUACAACUGCUGAAUAGUGGAUAUUGUGUGUUGCUGUAUCAACACGUGAGGACCAAGACUGUUUCAACAUGUAACCAAAAAUACUGCUGGAACAAGUGUAGAAGUCUUCAAGAGGAAAUUGGACAAGUAUCUUCACCAGGUGCCAAAUCAACCAGGCUGAUGGAGUGGGUCAAUGGAUCACCAGCAGUAACAUCCUGGUGGAGGAGGCAAGCACCAGAUGAGCCUGACCCCUGGCUGGGCUCUGGCAGUAGAAAAACACUAAGAACUCAUCAGAGGUUAAGGUCACCCUGCAUCCAUGUGAAAUGGCUGAUUUGUUAAAAAAAAAGUCAAAGAAUGAAGAAGUCCUCAGGUCACCCGGCCUUGAUGGGAGAUGGCAGGUGACAGUGACACGAUGGGAGAUGGCAGGUGACAGUGCCAUGAUGGGAGAUGGCAGGUGACAGUGCCAUGACGGGAGAUGGCAGGUGACAGUGCCAUGACGGAGAUGGCAGGUGACAGUGCCAUGCUGGGAGAUGGCAGGUGCCCAUGCCACGAUGGGAGAUUGCAGAUGUGCCACCGCUUGUCUUGACAUCUCUUCCAGUCUUGGAGCUGUGUCGAGAGUUCCUGCUGCCGGACCCACGCGCCUUAGUGUUCCAGAUGGAAGUGCGACUGCUUUAUUGACCAGGCAACAUAUGUCUAUGAGGUUGGUAAGAGACUCACCAAUUGGUGACUCUGAGACAGACGACGCUCAGGGCUUCUGCUGUUCCCGCUACACUGAGCUGGUAUCUACAUUGUGGUAGAUAGCACAAAUGUUUAAUUCAACUUAGUAUGAAUAUUUUUACCAUUUAAAGUAUAUCAUGCUUUAAGCUGCUUCUUUUAUGCAGUCUUUAUUUUGUUUAAUUCUGGUAGUUAAUUGACAAGGUCGUAUUUGUCUAAUACGGUUUAAUGAGUGCUGAACUUACUCCAUAUUUGUGAUGAAAAGAUGGAGAUGUUUUGACGGCUGAAGAGCUGUACUGUUAGUACAAAAUAAAUUUUGUACUAAAAAUAUUUCUUUAAAGAACUACUGUAUUUAAAAAUGAGAUUUAAAUAAUCUAAAAAGUGAAAAUGAAAAGUUAUUUAUAAAAUUAAUUUUUCAUGUGACUUAGAUUUGUCCUAUUCUAAAUGUUACGGAUACUUAGGUAAUUACCUAUACAUUGUCAUGAAAGUGCAUUGAGUAACCAGUACGGCUUUGCUACUGCCACCUCAUACACUCUGGUGUAGGGAAACUAAUGUUAAAUCUUUUACUUACACUGCAUAUGUAUUUAAAGUUGUCCACAAGUAUGUAGGUUUCUGAAGGCAUAUUCAUGUUACGAAAGAUGAGUGUCUAUGUUUCAGUUUUGACAAUGUUUUACUCUGAGGAAUAGAAUAGCAAUUAGUAAUCUAAUUUUCUAUUUUCUUUUUUUUUGUUCAUUUGCCGCAGUGAGUACACUGCUAAAAACUUAAGUUUUUUAAAGGUAUUAUACUUCAUUAGCUAGGAAUUUUUAUUGACCUAAGAAAAGCUUUUGACACAGUAGACCACGGCAUCCUACUCCACAAACUUGACCAUUAUGGUAUAAGAGGCCAUGCGCUUGAAUAUUUCAAAUCCAGUAUGUCACCAUUAAUGACACGGCAUCAUCAACACGGCCACUUGAUACUGGAGUUCCGCAGGAAAGUGUCCUUGGACCCCUGCUCUUCCUCAUUUACAUCAAUGAUCUUCCAAACGUAUCCCAACACCUGAAACCCAUUCUCUUUGCUGACGACAUGACUAAUGUCAUCUCUCACCCUAAUCUUGCCACCCUCAACACUAUUGUUAAUGAGGAGCUGCUCAAAAUAUCAACUUGGAUGACAGCCAAUAAACUUACACUUAACACUGACAAAACCUACUAUAUUAUGUUUGGUAGCAGAGCAGGUGCUGCACAACUUAACAUUAAGAUCGACAGGACUCUAAUUGCCAGACAUAAUGAGGGCAAAUUCCUAGGCCUAUACCUCGACAAUAACCUGAAUUUCAGCACCCAUAUCCAACACAUAUGAAAAAAAGUAUCAAAAACAGUUGGGAUCCUCUCCAAGAUACGAUACUACGUGCCACAAAAUGCCCUUCUCACACUGUACCAUUCACUCAUUUAUCCAUACCUCACCUAUGCUAUUUGUGCUUGGGGAUCAACUGCAGCAAUACACCUAAAGCCAAUAAUAACUCAACAAAAAGCUGCAAUAAGAAUAAUCACUAAAUCCCAUCCCUGGCAAACCCCCCCCCAUCACCACUCUUCAUAGAUCUAAACUUACUCCCUAUUCAGAACAUCCACACUUACUACUGUGCAGUCUGCAUAUACAGGACCUUAAAUUCCAAUAUUAACCUUGACCUCAAAUGCUUUCUUGAUAGUUGUGACAGGACUCACAGGCAUAACACCAGACACAAACAUCUCUACGACAUUCCCCGUGUCCGACUAAACCUUUACAAAAAUUCAAUGUAUGUCAAAGGCCCUAAAAUCUGGAACACACUACCUGAAAACUCUAGAACUGCAGACACAUUCAUCACCUUCAAAACUACUGUUAGAAAACAUCUUAUCUCCCUGAUACACCCCAUCAACUAACUACAUAAAAACCACCUGGUGGUCCACACUUACACUCACUCACUCACCCAUUUGACUAUAAGCACAGAAAUACAUAUCCUAAUCUUAAAAUAAUGAUUCCUAACUAGUCAUAAGUUUGCCUGUGAUACUCCAAUAUAGAAACUAUGUAUUGUGCCAAAACAAGGGCAUUCACAUUGCUAAACUCACAAACUAGUAUUUGUCACUUAGUAUUUAGUCUCUUAGUAUUUAGUCAACUUACUCCACAAUUUGUUAUAAUUUAGGGUUAAGAAUUAAUCUAAGUUUGCCCGAAAUGCCUAGCCAUGCUAGGUGUUCUAGUGGCCCCCUCUGUAAUUAGUAUUUUACUACAUGUAAACCACACAAUAACCAAAAUCUGUAAACCCCGCAUUGUAAUCCUUAUAGAGAAUAAACUUUGAUUUGAUUUGAUAAAGAUUUUCUGCCUAACUGAAGUACCAUAUUUUAAUUUGACAUUCAAAAUUAGAGAUUGUUUUAUGUAAAGAUUAUUUAAGAUUUAUUUAAAAAUUUUAUACGUAUUUAAUAGCCAAUUUAUUCGUCUCUAUUUUGCUCAUGUUUAAUAACUUUAUGUGUAUCAACAGUAGUGUUGUUGUGUAUUGGUAAAUCAAGGAGAUAGUUAGAGCUGAGUGUAAGGUGUUAUACAGAUGUUAUGAGUGGCACGGUACACAGCCUGGACGCCAGCUCUCUCACACACCAUGUCCCUCAAGCUAUCCAAAAUGCAGUUGUCAUGACAGAGGUCCUUACUGCAAUGUAUUCCACUACCACUGUUGGAGCAGAAUAUCAUUUCCUUCAAUCACUCAAGACUGUGAUGAAAUGCAGUACCAUCCACUACUGUGAAGCUCUAUGAAGUCAUGAUCGUCUACAUGUUGCUGUCUCUUCAUGUAUGCAGAUACGCUGAUGUGCAGCCAAGUAUAUGAAGUAUAUGUUAGUGACACACUGAAAUUCAGAGCAGCAUGGCUCAUGAGUGACUUACCUUUUUGUGAAAUAUUUUUUGGUUUGAAAAGUAGAAACCUUAUUACUUUUCCUGGUGUGACUUGCUGUCGUGAGGGGGGUGUUACAGGACUGUGAAUUGACAGCUGUCCUGAUGUCUUCUGCUGCUCCCACCAUUUGCUUACCUGUGUUGGCUGUCACACCUUAUGAAGAAUAUUGCACCUACUUAUGGCAGUAGUACUAAAUAUGGAGGUUACCUGCAGAACCACAGUAAAUGAGAAAAGGUAUGUUUUUUUUUUU